rnacentral:miRNA from 1 species
GAGCGAAGCCCAAGCGCCAGA